rnacentral:lncRNA from 1 species
GCAAUUUCCUUCCCUUGACAGUGUUUAUAACAUUGUGCUCAAUGAUGAAAAACAGAGACAAGUUAAGCCUGUCUCUCAUAUCAGCCCAGACUCUAUGUCUUUCAAUGCCCAUACUGACAAGCAUUCUGCUGGGUCCAACCAGGGCAAAUUUUCUGUAUUUUCUGGUUCUAAUUUCAAACCCAGAGUCAACUUUGAGCAAAAUAGAGGAAACUUAUUCUGCAGAUAUUGCAAGAAGUCAGGACACUUAAUUGAUAAGUGUUACAAGCUCCAUGGUUUUUCUCAAAACAAUAAUUACACCAAGGGAAGGAAAUCUGCAGCUGCUCAUGUUUCUACUGGCCCUGAUUGUGUGUCUGAUUAUAAUGGGAAUUCUAAUUUGUCUGUUCCUCUUGGGGAUCCUAUUUCCAGUCAACCUGUGAUACAAGGGUUGAGCAGACAGCAAUGUGAUAAUAAUAGGAAUUCUAAUUUGUCUGUUCCUCUUGGGGAUCCUAUUGCCAGUCAACCUGUGAUACCAGGGUUGAGUAGACAGCAAUGUGAUCAAAUUAUAAGUUUGAUUCAACAGACUCUCUCAAGGGAUUCUAGUGAUAAAGCUCCUGCUCCCAUGUGUUCUGCUAAUUUUGCUGGUACUAUGCUGUCUUAGAGUCUUGUUUCUGAUUCCAAAUUGUGCAUGCUUACAAACAUUAAUUCUGUCACCUGGAUCA